AGCAGCCGCGGUAAUUCCAGCUCCAAUAGCGUAUAUUAAAGUUGUUGCAGUUAAAAAGCUCGUAGUUGAAUUUCGGGAUCAAUGUUUCGGUCAUGCCGUUGGUAUGUACUGAUAUUAUUGGUUUCUCACCUUCUAAAGAACCGUAAUGCCAUUAAUUUGGUGUCACGGGGAAUUAGGACUGUUACCUUGAAAAAAUUAGAGUGUUUAAAGCAGGCUCACGCUUGAAUACAUUAGCAUGGAAUAAUGAAAUAGGACAUCCGAUUCUAUUUUGUUGGUUUCUAGGAUCGAUGUAAUGAUUAAUAGGGAUAGUUGGGGGCAUUAGUAUUCAAUUGUCAGAGGUGAAAUUCUUGGAUUUAUUGAAGACUAACUACUGCGAAAGCAUUUGCCAAGGAUGUUUUCAUUAAUCAAGAACGAAAGUUAGGGGAUCGAAGACGAUCAGAUACCGUCGUAGUCUUAACCAUAAACUAUGCCGACUAGGGAUCGGAUGAUGUUAAUUUUUUAAUGACUC
rnacentral:rRNA from 1 species